UUUUUUUUUAAAGAAAGGGUCUUAUUCUGUUGUUCAGGCUGGAGUGCAGCAUUGCAGUCUCUACCUCCCUGGGAUCAUGUGAUCCUCCCAUCUCAGCCUCUCAAGUACCUGCUACUACAGGUGCACGCCACCAUACCCAGCCUGUACUUCGUUUCUGAGGAUCAAGACCUCACAGACCGUGUGUGUGUGUGUGUAUUUGUGUGUGUGUGAGUCCUAUUUGGGCCCCGCCUUUCAGCCCUGUCUUGCAGCCCAAACUCCAGCCACAGCUGUGGCCCCGUGCAGCUCAGAGGAAUCAGGUUGGCUCAGGGGCUUUUCCUGCUUUAAGGCAGAGGGUGAGAAGGCUGUAGCUGGGCCCGGCUAACAUCUCACCUGCUCCUGGGUCAAGAGGUGAUAUAGUUGGAGGUCAGACCAGGUUGAGCCAUUUCCUGGGCCAGGAGUAUCUUAUAGCAUGGCACAGAACACCAGGAGGCCUCACCUUCUUCCUGCUCAGAAAAGCCCACUCCUUGUCUCUGGCCCUGUGCCAGGCACUCAUCUGUCCUUUAUUUCAUGCCUGGCCCUCUAGGCAAUGUUGGAGUCCAAGAGGGUAGGGGAUGGAAGUGGCUGAGUCAGGAUUUGAACCCAGGGCAUGGUGUUUCUCAACAGGGUUGGCACCGGGAUUCUUGUUGAGAUGAUUUGUCACUGGGUAGGACUGUCCUAUGCAUUUUAGGUGUUUGCUAUCCCUGGCCCUGUCCCCUGAAUGCCCAGGUGUCCUGCAAUCAUUGUGCUAACCAGAAGCAUCCCAUGUAUUCCUAGUGGUCUCCUAGGGACCAGGAGGAAAGAGACCUGGUAAGUCCCCUUCACAUUCAUCUAUAAAAAGGGAUCGUCAUCCUUGUGGUUAGUUUAGCUGUCAUGGGACACAGCAGGACUCAGUAAAUGUACUUCUCUCUCUUCCAGAAAGGGGUACUUUGAGGCUGUACUGCCUUUCUUGGCAGGAGGCCUGAGGCCCCCCAGUCCUUGAGUCUCAGCUGUGAAGCAGGGUGCUCCCCAGUGUCUCGGCUGGGACCUUGAACAAAUCAUUGAACCCUCUACCGCCUCUGUGCUCUCCCCGGGCACUUUGAGGACUCAGCCGACUCUACAUUUUUAAGCUUGCAGUUGAAACGUUUGCAGCCAUCGGGAUACAAGUUGUUAUAGGGACCAGCUGUGAUGACAGAAGUGGGAACACUUUGCAGGACUGUGGCUGUUGCUCAGCAGCCUUGGAGUCAGGAGGAGAGAUGAAAAUCAGAAUUGAGGGUGCUUCUGGGUGAGGGACACACCCUAUACUCUUCGCAUACUCUGCACUGGAUCCUCACGGAACCACAAUCUGAGUGGUAAGUAGUGCCCUCUCGUUUCACAGCUGAGGUGGCAGUUUGCAUUUUUUCAGAGGGCUGCAACAAGAUCUACGAUUCCGCAUUUUCUCUUUGAAAUAUGAUGUUGACACUUUCCCGUGGAGAGGUGGGGUCUAACUCUCCUCCCUCCACUCUUUCAGAAAGUGACACCACAUGACUUCUGAGACUUGGCCCUAAAAGGUGACACAGCUUCCAACUGGCUGACCUGGGACAGUCACUUUUGGAAUCCAGCCACCAUGUGGGAGGCAGCCUGGGUCACGUGGAGAGGCCACAAAUAAGUAUUUGCCAUCUGAGGUCCCUGCUAUAGCCAUAAGCAACCAUGUGAGAGUCGGAGUGAGAAGCACCCACACUGAGCCCAUUAACCACAGACUGCACAAGAGAAAUCAAAAUGAUUUUCUUUCUUUUUUUUUAAAGAGAGGAAUUUCUCUAUGUUGCUCAGGCUGAUCUUUAACUUCUGGGCUCAGGCAGUCCUCCCGCUUCAGCCUGCCCAGCAGCUAGGACCACAGGCACACAUCAACCCACCCUACUAAUGUUUUUUAAUUCUUUACUUUUGGUAGAGAUGGAGUUUCACCAUGCUGCCAGCCUGGUCUCGAACUCCUGGGCUCAAGUGAUCCUCCCACCUUGCCCUCCCAAAGUAUUGGGAUUAAAAGAAUGAGCCACUGUGUCUGGCCAAAAUCGCCAUUGUUUUAAGGCAACAAGUUUUGGAGAGAUUUGUUAUGCAGCAGUCUGCUAACCGCAAUAGAGGAGCACACAGGGGCUCAAUUUGACAGGUAGUGACUUGCCAGAGGACUCAGCUGAUGUGUGGCAGGACCAGGCAGUGAAUCUGUGUCUUCCGAACUCCAAAUCCCAUCUUUGCCCUGACCCUGAACUUCCUCCUUUGGUUUCUGGGAUGGCUCUUACUCAGGGAGGGUCCCCUUUUCCCUCCCCACCCAGCAGUGGCCAGGAUGAAACCACAGCCAGAGGUGCCCCAGGGGCAGUCCACAAGGACAGGCACACCCAGACACGCACUUGUGGUUUAUUACACACAGUGAUCUCCAUCUACACGGAAAUGGAAGGCAAGCAGCCAGGAUGGAGCUGGUUGCUGGGAACACUUGCUGGAGGUGGAAAAGCCUCUCGUCAGAGCGUGGGUGGGUCUGGUGGCAGGCCCCCUGCUCAGGCCAGCUGGGAACCAGCCCUGAGCUUUGCUUUGCCUGCACAGCCCACCUAGAGAGCCAUUUUUGGCCAGAGUUCUGGGUGGGAGACUUGGGGCCAGUGAGACCCAGACUCUGAGUGGGAGGCCUGCCUCCCUGGUCCAGGCCAUGUCCUAUCUUGUCCCUCUCUGGGUGAUAAUGGAAACAGAGACAGGAAGUAGCAGUCAGUCCAGGCUGGGCCCCUCCAUCCUCGACACUCUGCUCCCUGGAGCUGGGUCCACAUCACAGCGAUCACAGAGCUCAGCCACUACUCCUGGCCAGAGGACAUGUGCUCUCAUGGCAGGCUGGCCUCCUGAGGCCUCCUGAAUGUGGUAGAGCUAGACCCUCGUGGGGGAUUUCCACUCACUGCUCCCCGGGCCCAGCCGCAAGUGCUGGGCGAGUCUUGUCCGGGGGCCAAGUCUUGUCCAACUGCAGAGGCAGCUGGUUGUGGUUGAGUUUGGAGGCUGAUGAGGCCAGGAGCAACAGCAGCCGCUGUUCCACCCCUGGGUCUUCUUGGAUAGGGUGUGUCCCAGGGACUCCAGAGUUUUGCGGGGGCAGGUUCUUACAGGGCAGUACCACAGCUGAGAGUCUCUCUGCUGAUCAGGUGACUGAAGGCCCAACGUAGCAUCUUUCUAGCCUUGCCCGAGCCAGGUGCUUCUACCUUCAUCUCCUUCCUGGGAAAGCCCAGGCCCAAGGGUGCCCCUCAGGUACACAUCUCCCUGGUCUGGCCUGUCCACUUUCCGGCAGCUUCACAUGCCGGUGGCUUUGGGGCUGGGUGGGCAUACUCUUGAAUGUUAAAAGGCCACAGGUAGCGCAUUCCAUGAAAAAAGAUCAAUAUAUUACUGUUUUGUUUUUACAAAAAUUAAAAAUGUCCACACGGA